UACGUAGGCAGCGAGCGUUGUUCGGAGUUACUGGGCGUAAAGGGUGCGUAGGCGGUUGUUUAAGUUUGGUGUGUAAUCUCCCGGCUCAACUGGGAGGGUGCGCCGAAUACUGAAUGACUAGAGUGCGGGAGAGGAGAGUGGAAUUCCUGGUGUAGCGGUGAAAUGCGUAGAUAUCAGGAGGAACACCGGUGGUGUAGACGGCUCUCUGGACCGUAACUGACGCUGAGGCACGAAAGCGUGGGUAGCAAACAGG
rnacentral:rRNA from 1 species